rfam:Frankia asymbiotica strain NRRL B-16386 contig_102, whole genome shotgun sequence.
UCGCUGGCGUAAGCUCGUCCUCGCUUGCCGGUAGCAGGCUGGCGGCUCGGUUGGGUAACUCGCCGGGUCGGAGCCCAGAGUCGAAAGCCCUUGUAAGGGGGAGCGACUGGACGGCCCGUAGCAUGA